rnacentral:rRNA from 1 species
UACGUAGGGUGCGAGCGUUAAUCGGAAUUACUGGGCGUAAAGCGUGCGCAGGCGGUGAUGUAAGACAGUUGUGAAAUCCCCGGGCUCAACCUGGGAAUUGCAUUUGUGACUGCACGGCUAGAGUGUGUCAGAGGGGGGUAGAAUUCCACGUGUAGCAGUGAAAUGCGUAGAGAUGUGGAGGAAUACCGAUGGCGAAGGCAGCCCCCUGGGAUAACACUGACGCUCAUGCACGAAAGCGUGGGGAGCAAACAGG